rnacentral:rRNA from 1 species
UACGUAGGGGGCUAGCGUUAUCCGGAAUUACUGGGCGUAAAGGGUGCGUAGGUGGUUUCUUAAGUCAGAGGUGAAAGGCUACGGCUCAACCGUAGUAAGCCUUUGAAACUGGGGAACUUGAGUGCAGGAGAGGAGAGUGGAAUUCCUAGUGUAGCGGUGAAAUGCGUAGAUAUUAGGAGGAACACCAGUUGCGAAGGCGGCUCUCUGGACUGUAACUGACACUGAGGCACGAGAGCGUGGGGAGCAAACAGG